rnacentral:rRNA from 1 species
GAUGAACGCUGGCGGCGUGCCUAAUACAUGCAAGUCGAGCGAACUUUUGGGAGCUUGCUCCCAAAAGUUAGCGGCGGACGGGUGAGUAACACGUGGGUAACCUGCCUGAAAACCGGGAUAACCUUGGGAAACCGGAGCUAAUACCGGAUAACAUUUAAGACCACAAUGCCUUCAAUUAAAAGGUUGCUUUUUGCUUCCACUUACAGAUGGACCCGCGGCGCAUUAGCUAGUUGGUGAGGUAACGGCUUACCAAGGCGACGAUGCGUAGCCGACCUGAGAGGGUGAUCGGCCACACUGGGACUGAGACACGGCCCAGACUCCUACGGGAGGCAGCAGUAGGGAAUCUUCCGCAAUGGACGAAAGUCUGACGGAGCAACGCCGCGUGAGCGAAGAAGGCCUUCGGGUCGUAAAGCUCUGUUGUUAGGGAAGAACAAGUAUCGUUCGAAUAGGGCGGUACCUUGACGGUACCUAACCAGAAAGCCACGGCUAACUACGUG